ACGAACGCUGGCGGCGUGCUUAACACAUGCAAGUCGAACGGAAAGGCCUCAGCUUGCUGGGGUACUCGAGUGGCGAACGGGUGAGUAACACGUGGGUGAUCUGCCUUGCACUCUGGGAUAAGCUUGGGAAACUGGGUCUAAUACCGGAUAUGAACUGCCUUUAGUGUGGUGGUUGGAAAGUUUUUUCGGUGCAGGAUGGGCUGGCGGCGUAUCAGCUUGUUGGGGGGGUAAUGGCCUACCAAGGGGUCGUCGGGUAGCCGGCCUGAGAGGGUGGACGGCAACAUUGGGACUGAGAGACGGCCCAGACGCCUACGGGAGGCAGCAGUGGGGAAUAUUGCACAAUGGGCGGAAGCCGUAUGCAGCGACGCCGCGUGUGGGAUGACGGCCUUCGGGUUGUAAACGCCUUUCGACAGGGACGAAGCUUUUUGUGACGGUACCUGGAUAAGAAGCACCGGCUAACUACGUG
rnacentral:rRNA from 1 species